AAUGGCAAAUGAUGAUUGAAUUUUAUGCUUAUUGAUAUACUGAUUCAUUGUGUUGACUCAACUUCGCUUAUUACCUGAUGCCAUU